AAAAGAGCAAACAUUAAUAACAGCAGCUUAGUUUUUGGUCCCAACAGACUUAACUAGCAGAAGGGGAAAAGAAGAUCUGGGGCUGGCUAGCAGAGAAACAUUGCUGAGUGUAAACACUACAAGGCAUCUCUGAGUGCUUUUAUCAUACGGAGCCUGAAAGUAUUUGUAAUUUGUGACUCUUCAGUCAGGAGCAGUCUUGCAAGCAAGGAGUGUUUAUUGUGGAUUUUCAGUACAGAGAAAACUACAGUUUGAUUUCAUGUUCAGCCUUCAGCAGAAACACUACUACCUCAGCCCUGAGGGAAAACCACUUCUGGCACUUGGAGGAAAUUUUUAACAGAAG
rnacentral:lncRNA from 1 species